UCGGACGUGGUGUACUGGACACGGCCUCUUUCAAUGCCUUCAAUUUAACCCAGAGUUGGAGGUAGUCCCGGGUUCAAAUCCCGGCGUCCGAA